AGUGAACGCUGGCGGUAGGCCUAACACAUGCAAGUCGAACGGCAGCACAGUAAGAUCUUGCUCUUACGGGUGGCGAGUGGCGGACGGGUGAGGAAUACAUCGGAAUCUACUUUUUCGUGGGGGAUAACGUAGGGAAACUUACGCUAAUACCGCAUACGACCUACGGGUGAAAGCAGUAGAUCUUCAGACCUUGCGCGAUUGAAUGAGCCGAUGUCGGAUUAGCUAGUUGGCGGGGUAAAGGCCCACCAAGGCGACGAUCCGUAGCUGGUCUGAGAGGAUGAUCAGCCACACUGGAACUGAGACACGGUCCAGACUCCUACGGGAGGCAGCAGUGGGGAAUAUUGGACAAUGGGCGAAAGCCUGAUCCAGCCAUACCGCGUGGGUGAAGAAGGUCUUCGGGUUGUAAAGCCCUGUUGUUGGGAAAGAAAAGCAGCAGGUUAAUACCCCGCUGUUCUGACGGUACCCAAAGAAUAAGCACCGGCUAACUUCGUG
rnacentral:rRNA from 1 species